UACGUAGGUGGCGAGCGUUGUCCGGAAUUACUGGGUGUAAAGGGCGUGUAGGCGGUAUAUUAAGUCAGAUGUGAAAUUUCCGGGCUUAACCCGGGGGCUGCAUUUGAAACUGAUGUACUUGAGUGCAGGAGAGGAAAGCGGAAUUCCUAGUGUAGCGGUGAAAUGCGUAGAUAUUAGGAGGAACACCAGUGGCGAAGGCGGCUUUCUGGACUGUAACUGACGCUGAGACGCGAAAGCGUGGGGAGCAAACAGG
rnacentral:rRNA from 1 species